rnacentral:lncRNA from 1 species
AUGCUUCGGCGCUUUGCCUCGGCGCUCUCGGAGGCUCCUUCCGUGGAACUCUGCGUGACGCCCGUCGAUCCCACACUCUCCACUUCCAGCUCCGUGGCCGUGUUUACCUGUUCCUCCUGGGAGGGCAGGGCCAUGGACGCGGGCAUACCUGGUGUCCCGCCAGCAGGUGCCGGGGUGGACUGGGAGUUUGCUGACUCAUCUGGGACCCCUGAAGGCUCCUCUCUAGCGAAGGGGACAGGUGAGGGUGUGCCCUCAACCGCCACUGCCCCCAGGUGCGUCUCCAUCCACACGAGGCUGGGGUUCACCUGUUUGUUUCGUGGCUGCUCCUGCUCACCUCCCCGGGACUGUGGGGACUUUAUGGAAACAAGGUCAGCAUCAUCAGGAGCACUGCUUUCCUGGGAUUUACGAGACCUCCUCCUCCCUGAGUUUUUCUUGCCCAUGUCGUCGCUCUCUGCCUGCCCUGGAAUUGUGUCAGAGGUUGACAGCGUUCUAACCGUCGAGCUCAGCGACACCUCAGCGACUGCUGUGUACUUUUCUCCGCCACCGGCAGCAGGUUUAAUCGAUGUCUUUUUAUUCACAGCCUCCUCAUCAACAACAGGGGGCGAUCCCGUGCCCUUUUGGCCGGCCUUAGGUAUGAAAGUAACAGCCCUGAUGGUCUGGACUACUUCCUGGCUAUCGCCAGGCUCCGCCCCCCUGCUUAUGCUCGUUUCGUCCAGGUACACCUGCAACUUCUUAUUCACACCACCCACCAGUUUGCGCGGGUCUGGCGGAGAGCCCUUGGCCCGUUUCCGCUCCCCUCCCUGCGGGAGGCGACGACGGGUUGUCGCUUCACCACCCUCCUUGCGCUGCACUACUUCGCGCACGCUGCCGCGGCCGCUGCUGUCGCUGUCGGCGAAGGGGAGGUCGCCCUCCUCCGGCGUAGACGCCUCGCCCCCCAGCUCGGCCCCUUCUAAGCGCUCCUCAGAAACGGACACUUGGGGGGCGUUUGCCUCGUACCCAGGUUUCCCCGGGGGGGUCCUCAGGCCUUCCUGCUCCGGAGACUUGGCGGCGCCAUCGUCGGACGCAUCCGAGAAGGUUCUGCUGCCUUUGCGACGCCGGGAGCUGAAGAAGCUGCCGAUGCGGUUGAGCACUCCGCCCUUGUCCUCUGCGCUGUGCGCCUGGAAGAGACGGGAAGGGGAUGAGUUCCACCGACAGCCCCGCGGAGCCACGGCGGCAGGGCCGAUUACGGGCUAUGGUGUGAGGUGCAGAGAAGGCAGCGAAGGCAGCGGCCGAAUAUCUUGUCGGCCUUCGUGCCCCACUGAAGAAUGUAUGCGCCGCAUGCUUCGGCGAGUUCCGGCGGUGCCCGUGAAAGGCAACCCCUUAUGCGGAAAUUCAUUCUUUAAUUUGCAAAAACGCGGCAGGGAACUCUACCUCCGCGGCAGGUUCGUCUCCUCGUCAAAGUAGCACGAAUCAUUUCAGCUUUACGCGACACGGCAGUGUAUUAAAAAUAGGAUUCAAUUAACUUCCAUCGCAGUGUUUUGUCUCAUUCGUUUUCCCGUAUGGGACCUUUCGUUUGCUGCCUUAAUCGGGUUACCCUGGCUGAACCGCUCCAGUAAAAAUACAGCUGCAGAUGGGUCCCUGAGUGCAGUCCUCAGAGCUGACCAUCCUGUAGUACCGUACACGCGUGUUCGUGCAGGGAUCACGUAAGAUGAACAAUUUGGGAGGGGUCAGUGGCCUCUCCACUUCUUUUGUAAAACUGCCCCCGGCACAGAAACCCCACCAGGAUGGACGGGCAGGUCUGACAUAUUCUUUGUGAUAAAGACAGACCUGCUGCAGGUGACAGUGGACCCAAACCCCAUCCUGCCCACCUCCAGGGUGCCAGGCUCGUACGAGGGCAGAUCAGAAACCAACCGCUCACAGGGCUUUUGCAUAUUUGAUUGCAAAAUAGCCAUGAAAUGCGGAAGAACAAAGAGCGGCGCCCAGCCUGAGGCUUUUUCCUACUUCGUCUUCCAGUGAAGCUGCGGUUCUGAAAUCCAGAGCAGAAAAGCAGCAAACUGGUCCCUUAGAAGGUAAGCCUUUACUGUUUGUCA